AUGCUACCACUGGACUCCAGUAGAUAGAGCCAACUGUACUCUCACAGCAGGGUCAGCAUUUAGUCUGCAGACUGAGCUUGACCCGAAUGCCCUGGCUGUCCAGUAGCUCCUGACACCAAAGGAUAAGUAGCCCUGUGUAGCCUGCCGUGCCUCACAACACCAGCAGCUAGCCCAUCCAAAGACUCCCAGAGCUACGCGGCAGCCAACACUACCACGAUGGCUCUCAGUGCAAGCACCACAGGCUUGGUGAUGCUGGGCCUCGCCUCUCUCCUCGUCUCAUCACUUGCUGACGACGAAACCUCCGGAGCCCUUGAUGCUGGGAAGAAUAUGACAUCAGGAGGGGUCGUGGAUGCGGACUACCCACCAACAUAUGGGCCACCAACUUACGGCGCAGUGAAUAGAAUAACGGCUAGAUGUGUUCUUGUAAUUUUUUGUUGUGUGUUUUCUUUUGUUUUCUGAACCUUCUGUUUCAAUUUAAAAAGCAGGGCAGACCUCCGAGAGUUUAUGGAGUAUGUAAGUGAAUAAAAUUAUCAGGACUUACUAUGGAUGCACGUUUGGCUUA